GUCCUUCAUGACAACAGAACCCACAACAACCAUGACUUGUAUCACCAUCUUCAUCUGGAUAUUUGCCCUCUGUCUCCAAGAGUCCAGAGGCCAGGUCACAGUGACCCAGACUCCUGCAGUGAAAGCUGUUUCAGUGGGUCACUCAGUCAGUCUCAGCUGUAAGACCAGCAGUGCUGUAUACAGUGACAGCAAUGGACACUAUUUGCACUGGUAUCAACAGAAACCUGGAGGAGCUCCUAAACUCCUAAUAUACUGGUCUAAAACCCUUCAGUCUGGGACGCCAUCUAGAUUCAGUGGUAGUGGAUCUGGGAGUGACUUCACUCUGACCAUCAGUGGAGUCCAGGCUGAAGAUGCAGGAGAUUACUACUGUCAGAGUUACCACAGUGGUGGAGUAUUCACACAGUGAUACAGAGCUGUACAAAAACCUCCCUCAGUCAGACAGCACAGUGACUGUACUGCUACAACUGGGACCUACUGCAGGUGCUGAGGGGGAAGAGACAGUACCAUGGAACACUGAUCAGCGAGGAAACCUUGAAUAAGGGUAGAAAGCGUAAUUUAAAUCACAUGUUCUUCAUCAUCAUCAUCAUGGUUGUGACUCAUUUGUCAUGAGCUGAAAGAUCAUCUAAAAGUUGAGGUUUUGAAAACACAACACCAGUCCAAAGGCAAAGUAAGAAGUAAAACAAAAGGUGUUAUGACCUCAACAUUAGUUCAACGUUACAAUCACUUCAGCCCCCAAAACAAGUCCCCAAAUGGAGCUCAUGACCAAAUGUCUGAUUGAAAUGGAUUUGAUUUUACAGGAUUAUAUGAACUAUUUUCAAUAUGCAGGUUCCUGACUGU